rnacentral:misc_RNA from 1 species
UGGAGUGCUGCUCCGGUUUCCCAAGGGAAUGGAAGUUCAGAUACAAAGCAAUCUGAUUCUUGGGAUGGCUGGAAGUCUGCUGGAGUUGACAAAGCAAUUAACAAAGACAAGGAAUCCUUGGGCAAUGUGCCUGCAUCUCCAUCAUUUAGUGCGUGGAAUGCUUCUCCAGUUUCCCAAGGGAAUGAACGUUCAGAUGCAAAGCAAUCUGAUUCUUGGGAUGGCUGGAAGUCUGCUGGAGUUGACAAAGCAAUUAACAAAGACAAGGAAUCCUUGGGCAAUGUGCCUGCAUCUCCAUCAUUUAGUGCGUGGAAUGCUGCUCCAGUUUCCCAAGGGAAUGAACGUUUAGAUGCAAAGCAAUCUGAUUCUUGGGAUGGCUGGAAGUCUGCUGGAGUUGAUGAUUCAGUUAAAGACAAGGAAUCCUGGGGUAAUGUGCCUGCAUCCCCAUCAGAUAGUGCGUGGAAUGCUGCUCCAGUUUCCCAAGGGAAUGAAAGUUCAGAUGCAAAGCAAUCUGAUUCUUGGGAUGGUUGGAAGUCUGCUGGAGUUGAUGCUUCAACUAACAAAGACAAGGAAUCCUGGGGCAAUGUGCCUGCAUCUCCAUCAGAUAGUGCAUGGAAUGCUGCUCCAGUUUCCCAAGGGGAUGAUGUCUGGAAUUCUGCUGAAGCCAAUGAGUCACGUAAUAAGGACUGGAAAUCAGAUGGAUGGGGUGCCAGAGGUGGCAAUUGGAGGGGCCAAAGAAACAAUCCUGGUAGGCCCCCAAGGAAACCUGAUGGCAGGGUCUGCCUAGGAGACCUGAUGAGAGGGGGCCACCAAGGCGACACUUUGACCUAACAGCUGAGGAGGAAAAGAUUCUAGGAGAAAUUGAAACCACUGUGCUGAGCAUCAGAAAGAUUUUCCGUGAAUCAAUGUAAGUUACUUCAUGAUUAUUUGGUAAUUUUGUGUGAUUCAUGAUUUACAGUUAUAUGCUUUUAAGUUUCUGAAUAGAGGAGGCUGGCUUUUAUAUGAAAGUAUGCUAGGUCCGACAUUUAAUUGAUUUGUACUGUCUUAAGCUUUUUAACUUUAUUGUUGACUUAAAAUUUUGCAGUGAUAGCAUAAAACUUUCUCCGGAAGACGAAAAAUUCAUCAAAGAGAAUGUUCUUGAACACCACCCUGAGAAACAAUCAAAGGUGUCUGGUGAAAUCGAUCACAUAAUGGUAUGGUUCUCUUGUUACUUUUGGGUUGACCUGUUGUGCAAUUGCCCGAUACGCUAUAAUGAAAUAUAGCAUUCGUUUGGCUUAUGGUGUGCAAUGGCCUCAUUUAAUUUGACAGGUUGACAAGCACCAAGUGUUCCAGGAUAGUCGGUGCUUGUUUGUGGUGUCUUCAGAUGGAACUCGGUCAGAUUUCUCCUAUUUAAAAUGCAUGGAGAAUUUUGUGAGGAAGACCUACCCUGAGCAUGGGGACUCAUUCUGCAAGAAGUAUUUCAAGAGGCGCCGUGACCAACCACCAGCAGCUGAUGGAGGCACAGCACCAGGCACUCCAGCUGGGGCUACACAGUCUACUGCAGUUGAUACCCAGGAGGGCACUUCACAGCAGACCCAACCAGAUAUCGCAACCGCUCCAGCUGCAACUCAACAAGAGACUCUUCAAGACACUCCAGCUCCUCCAGCAGACGAUGGAUUGCUCGGGAAGGGACCUAGCCCGUCUGACUGAUGCUCAGGGUGCGCUUAGAGCUGCCAACAUCCUGCUUGUGCUCUAAUCCUGCCACUCUUUUUUUCCUACUUGGCCUGACAUUGCCUAGUGACUAGACAGAUGGUGACUUUGUGUAGUAGAGAAGGGUUAGCAGUCUUUAGGUCUCACUCUUCCAGACGAACUCUGUAAAUUCUGGAUGUUAGUGAGCUGCAUCCCGUAGCUUAAACUCGUUUUUACCCUCUCUUUUUUUUUUAUCUUUUUUGUCUUUCCAGUAUGGUUAUUUGGUUAGUCCAAUGCAAGCCGAUUCUGCGAGGCCGUGCCGAAUCUGAUGAUUUUGUUGUUCUGCAAGGCACAGAGCUCUCGCUGGUGCUGUUUCAUUUUGGAUGCUGUUACAGGGUUUUGUAAAGACACUGAAACUACCAUGCGAAUCAGCAAAAGAUGGAUUCCCUGCUGUGAACAAGCAGGUGGCCUUGCAUGAAUUCAUUCAUCAAACAUGAGGUCUUGCUGGUGACGCCACAAAUUUGGUUUGAUGUGUUUGCACUGAGCUGGACCAAUCUGUUCUUGAAAUUUCUUCAGGUUGGUACAGAAAAUAGGUAAUAUUGUAUUCUGUCAUUUCAUUACCAAGACCAGUGGUGUGAACAAGCUGGAGGCAUUGCUUAAAUGCAUCCGUCAACCGUAUGAUUGUUUCAGC